rnacentral:tRNA from 1 species
UUGGCUCAGUCGGUAGAGCAUCGUCCUGUCGAGCCAAAGAUCGUUGGUUCGAAUCCAUUA